rnacentral:tRNA from 1 species
AGCCCUGUAGAAUAGCUGGUCAAGUUCGCAGCCCUCUGGCGGCUGAGACCUCGGUUCAAAUCCGAGCAGGGCUA